rnacentral:rRNA from 1 species
AAGGAGCCGCUAACUUCGUGCCAGAAGCGUCGGUAAUACGGGGGCUCCAAGCGUUAUCCGGUGUUAUUGGGCGUAAAGAGUCGUGUAGGUGGUUGGGUAAGUUAUCUUUCAAAUAUCUUUGCUUAACAAAGAGGAGGGGGAUAAUACUGCUCGACUAGAAUUUUCUCAAGGGAGAUCGGAACUGAGGGAGGAGUAGUGAAAUGCGUUGAUACCCUCGGGAACACCAGUGGCGUAGGCGGAUCUCUGGGAGAAGAUUGACACUGAGACACGAAAGCUAGGGGAGCGAAGCAGAUUAGAGACCUGCGUAGUCCUAGCCGUAAACGCAUGCUUGCUAGCUGCACGAAUCUACCUUCGGGUGGUAUCGUGUGGCGAAGGUAACCCGUUAAGCAAGCCGCCUGGAAAGUACGGCCGCAAGGCUGAAAUUCAAAGGAAUUGGCGGGGAGGCACACAACCAGUGGAACAUGUGGUUUAAUUCGAGACUAACCGAAGAACCUCACCAGGGUUUGACAUGUAGCUGCACGUCUUAAGAAAUUAAGACUCUCUUGAAGGUGCUACACAGGUGCUGCAUGGCUGUCGUCAGCUCGUUCCGUGAGGAGUGCCCUUAAGUGGGACAACGAGCGCAACCCCUAUUACAUGUUAGAAAUGUCAUGUAAGACUGCCUUGCCAUUUGGCGGGGAGGAAGGAGGGGCAGACGUCAAGUCCGCAUGGUCCUUAUGCCCUGGGCUACACACAUGUUACAAUGAGUACGGCAAUGAGUCUGUCGCGAGCACGUAAGUGUAAGCUAAUCUCUUAAAUGUACUCUCAGUGGGGAUUGAGGUCUGCAACUCGACCUCAUGAACACGGAAUUGGUAGUAAUCGCGGGUCAGCUAUACCGCGGUGAUACGUUCUUGCCUCUUGCACACACCGCCCGUCAAACCAGCAAAGUCGAUUGUAUCCGAACCUCUCUUUUUGAGUGGGAGGAUGUGGUUGGUGAUGAGGGUUAAGUCGUA